UACGUAGGGGGCAAGCGUUGUCCGGAUUUAUUGGGCGUAAAGAGCGUGUAGGCGGCUUGACAGGUCUGCUGUGAAAACUCGAGGCUCAACCUCGAGAUGUCGGCGGAAACCAUCUGGCUAGAGUCCGGAAGAGGAGAGUGGAAUUCCUGGUGUAGCGGUGAAAUGCGCAGAUAUCAGGAAGAACACCCGUGGCGAAGGCGGCUCUCUGGGACGGUACUGACGCUGAGACGCGAAAGCGUGGGGAGCGAACAGG
rnacentral:rRNA from 1 species